rnacentral:rRNA from 1 species
UACAGAGGGUGCGAGCGUUAAUCGGAAUUACUGGGCGUAAAGCGCACGUAGUCGGCUUUGCAAGUCGGGUGUGAAAUCCCCGGGCUCAACCUGGGAACUGCAUCCGAGACUGCAUUGCUAGAGUAUGGGAGAGGGAAGCGGAAUUUCUGGUGUAGCAGUGAAAUGCGUAGAUAUCAGAAGGAACACCCGUGGCGAAGGCGGCUCUCUGGGACGGUACUGACGCUGAGACGCGAAAGCGUGGGGAGCGAACAGG